CUUUCCUCGAUUUCUAGGUCUAUUUCAGCACUCUUGGUGAUAUCAUUGAAAACAACAUUCUCGGACUUUUCUUCAGACUCAAAUACUAUUUUC
rnacentral:rRNA from 1 species